AUUGAACGCUGGCGGCAUGCCUAACACAUGCAAGUCGAACGGGGCAGCAAUGCCUAGUGGCGGACGGGUGAGGAAUACGUAGGAAUCUGCCCUUAAGUGGGGGAUAACCAGGGGAAACCCUGACUAAUACCGCAUGAUCUCUUCGGAGCAAAGAGGGGGACCGCAAGGCCUCUCGCUUCUGGAUGAGCCUACGUCUGAUUAGCUAGUUGGUAGGGUAAAGGCCUACCAAGGCGACGAUCAGUAACUGGUCUGAGAGGAUGAUCAGUCACACCGGAAAUACGACCCGGUCCGGACUCCGACGGGAGGAAGCAGUGGGGAAUAUUGGACAAUGGGCGCAAGCCUGAUCCAGCAAUGCCGCGUGUGUGAAGAAGGCCUUCGGGUUGUAAAGCACUUUAGCCUGGAAAGAAAAAACUUUGGUUAACACCCAAAGUCUUGACGGUACCAGGGGAAUAAGCACCGGCUAACUCUGUGCCAGCCGCCGCCGUAAUAC
rnacentral:rRNA from 1 species